rnacentral:rRNA from 1 species
AUUGAACGCUGGCGGCAGGCCUAACACAUGCAAGUCGAGCGGAUGAAGGGAGCUUGCUCUCGGAUUCAGUGGCGGACGGGUGAGUAAUGCCUAGGAAUCUGCCUGGUAGUGGGGGAUAACGUCCGGAAACGGGCGCUAAUACCGCAUACGUCCUGAGGGUGAAAGUGGGGGAUCUUCGGACCUCACGCUAUCAGAUGAGCCUAGGUCGGAUUAGCUAGUUGGUGGGGUAAAGGCCUACCAAGGCGACGAUCCGUAACUGGUCUGAGAGGAUGAUCAGUCACACUGGAACUGAGACACGGUCCAGACUCCUACGGGAGGCAGCAGUGGGGAAUAUUGGACAAUGGGCGAAAGCCUGAUCCAGCCAUGCCGCGUGUGUGAAGAAGGUCUUCGGAUUGUAAAGCACUUUAAGUUGGGAGGAAGAGCAGUAAGUUAAUACCUUGCUGUUUUGACGUUACCAACAGAAUAAGCACCGGCUAACUUCGUG